AGGAGAGAUACAAAAAGAAUAUUUGCUCUGCCAGUUAAUCCUGAAGAGGUCAAAGGUUACAAUGAUAUUAUCAAAGACCCCAUGAAUCUUGGCACCAUGAGGGCAAAACUUCAGGGAGGAUUGUAUACAUCACUUGAACAAUUUGAGCGUGAUGUAUUUUUUAUAUAAAAAAAUGUGAUGCAAUUCAAUGCCUCU